CACACCGCCCGUCACACCAUGGGAGUGGGUUGCACCAGAAGUCGUUAGCUUAACCGCAAGGGGGGCGAUGACCACGGUGUGAUUCAUGACUGGGGUG
rnacentral:rRNA from 1 species